GCCUAGUUAGCUUAGUUGGUAGUGCCUUGUAAGCGCUAGGCCGCGGGUUCGAUUCCCGCCCGGGGCG
rfam:Asian citrus Psyllid, Diaphorina citri - Florida Strain, whole genome shotgun sequence.